UACGUAGGGGGCAAGCGUUGUCCGGAUUUAUUGGGCGUAAAGAGCGUGUAGGCGGCCACACAGGUCAGCUGUGAAAACUCGAGGCUCAACCUCGAGACGUCGGUUGAAACCGUAUGGCUAGAGUCCGGAAGAGGAGAGUGGAAUUCCCGGUGUAGCGGUGAAAUGCGCAGAUAUCGGGAGGAACACCAGUGGCGAAGGCGACUUCCUGGCCUGUUCUUGACGCUGAGGCGCGAAAGCUAGGGGAGCAAACGGG
rnacentral:rRNA from 1 species